rnacentral:rRNA from 1 species
GAGUUUGAUCAUGGCUCAGAUUGACGCUGGCGGCAUGCCUUACACAUGCAAGUCGAACGGCAGCACGGGAGCUUGCUCCUGGUGGCGAGUGGCGAACGGGUGAGUAAUGCAUCGGAACGUAUCCUGGAGUGGGGGGAUAACGUAGCGAAAGUUACGCUAAUACCGCAUAUUCUGUGAGCAGGAAAGCGGGGGACCUUCGGGCCUCGCGCUCUUGGAGCGGCCGAUGUCGGAUUAGCUAGUUGGUGAGGUAAAGGCUCACCAAGGCGACGAUCCGUAGCAGGUCUGAGAGGAUGAUCUGCCACACUGGAACUGAGACACGGUCCAGACUCCUACGGGAGGCAGCAGUGGGGAAUUUU